UACGAAGGGGGCUAGCGUUGCUCGGAAUUACUGGGCGUAAAGGGCGCGUAGGCGGCGCAGUUAGUCAGGCGUGAAAUUCCUGGGCUCAACCUGGGGACUGCGCUUGAUACGGGUGUGCUUGAGGAUGGAAGAGGCUCGCGGAAUUCCCAGUGUAGAGGUGAAAUUCGUAGAUAUUGGGAAGAACACCGGUGGCGAAGGCGGCGAGCUGGUCCAUUACUGACGCUGAGGCGCGACAGCGUGGGGGAGCAAACAGG
rnacentral:rRNA from 1 species